rnacentral:rRNA from 1 species
UACGAAGGGGGCUAGCGUUGCUCGGAAUCACUGGGCGUAAAGCGCACGUAGGCGGAUUGUUAAGUCAGGGGUGAAAUCCUGGAGCUCAACUCCAGAACUGCCUUUGAUACUGGCGAUCUCGAGUCCGGGAGAGGUGAGUGGAACUGCGAGUGUAGAGGUGAAAUUCGUAGAUAUUCGCAAGAACGCCAGUGGCGAAGGCGGCUCACUGGCCCGGUACUGACGCUGAGGUGCGAAAGCGUGGGGAGCAAACAGG